AUGCAGUCGAGCGGUAGAGAGGAGCUUGCUUCUCUUGAGAGCGGCGGACGGGUGAGUAAUGCCUAGGAAUCUGCCUAGUGGUGGGGGAUAACGUUCGGAAACGGACGCUAAUACCGCAUACGUCCUACGGGAGAAAGCGGGGGACCUUCGGGCCUCGCGCCAUUAGAUGAGCCUAGGUCGGAUUAGCUAGUUGGUGAGGUAAAGGCUCACCAAGGCGACGAUCCGUAACUGGUCUGAGAGGAUGAUCAGUCACACUGGAACUGAGACACGGUCCAGACUCCUACGGGAGGCAGCAGUGGGGAAUAUUGGACAAUGGGCGAAAGCCUGAUCCAGCCAUGCCGCGUGUGUGAAGAAGGUCUUCGGAUUGUAAAGCACUUUAAGUUGGGAGGAAGGGCAGUAACUUAAUACGUUGCUGCUUUGACGUUACCGACAGAAUAAGCACCGGCUAACUUCGUGCCAGCAGCCG
rnacentral:rRNA from 1 species